rnacentral:rRNA from 1 species
UACGUAGGCAGCGAGCGCUGUUCGGAAUUACUGGGCGUAAAGAGUGUGUAGGCGGUGUUCCAAGUCUGGUGUGAAAUCUCCCGGCUCAACUGGGAGGGUGCGCCGGAAACUGGAAUGCUAGAGGGUGGGAGAGGUAAGCGGAAUUCCUGGUGUAGCGGUGAAAUGCGUAGAUAUCAGGAGGAACACCUGUGGUGUAGACAGCUUACUGGACCACUUCUGACGCUGAGACACGAAAGCGUGGGUAGCAAACAGG